rnacentral:rRNA from 1 species
AUGGCGGCUGAAGCGGGAUCGUCUUCUGCAGGAGGAUCGGGGAAGAAGCUGGAGGAGCUGCUGCAGCACCUGGAUCUCAAGGAUGGUGAGUUGGAUGAUGUGAUAGUGGGAGAGGAGGAAUCAAAGAAGUACAAAGAAGAUGAGCGAUGGCUGGCGAUUGCGAAGGUGAACACGACCCGGAUUUUCAGUUCAUCAUUGAUGUUCGAAACCAUGAAAUCCAUAUGGGGAUUAGCACAAGUGCCAACAUACAGGGAGGCUGGUGUGAACCUCUAUAUCUUCCAAAUGUUCUGCCUGGGAGAUUGGAAGAAAUUUGUUCAUGGAGGACCCUGGCUGUUUAGAGGGAUGGGGAUGUUAAUUGAGGAUUACGAUGGCAAGCAAGAUCUUGCGUCUUUUGUCUUCGAUGGCUUGUAUGUCUGGGCGCAGAUCCACAAUAUACCAGAACUUUACCGCAAGCUUGAGGUGAUUGAUCAGCUAGUGCGUCGGACCGGCCAGGUCAAGGAGACGCAACUUUCUCCUAGACUAUUCUAUGAGGGUGACUAUGUAAGGUUCCAUGCUAGGGUUUUGGUGAAUAAACCCCUCACUAGGGUUACUCCUCUGAACGUCUUGGGCGAGGGCAGGAAAUUCCUCCCUAUCAAGUACGAGAAAAUACCCUAUUUGUGCCCAGUUUGUGGUCUUAUGGGUCACAACCAUGAGGAGUGUGGUGAUGGAGUUUGGGAGGAAAAAGACAAGCAAUGGGGAGGUUGGGUGUUGGCACAGCGACGGGAAAUAGCUCAGGAGCAGCCAGGCGGUGGCCGUGCUUUCUGGGGAGGCCGCUUUGGGGGCCGAGGUAGAGGAAGAUCAGGCCGGAGUGCCCCACCAGCCCGCCAACCAUCUCUAGCACGCAAGCGUACAUCUCAGGGGGAGGGCUUGGACUCUGGAGCAAACAAGGGAGAGGAAGAAGAUGUCACCAGCCCACUGAAACCAAUAGACACAGGUGGAAAGGAACAUGUGGGAGUCCUGGGGGCUCGAAGAAAUCUGAUUUUCACCACAACCAGCAUCACAUAG